rnacentral:snoRNA from 1 species
AGCACUUGUGUGUGGUUUUGUUUAACUUGUAGACAAAUAGGUGCAAAAAAUAAAUCCUCUUUUGCAACCCAGAACUCAUUGUACAGUAUGAGCUUUGAUACAUAAAAAAAGAAACAUG